UUUGGGGAAUGAUGAUUAAACUGUGACAUAGGCUUCUGCUCUGCUGAAUUAUGUUUGCACGUCAGUCUGAUCCCAAA